rnacentral:rRNA from 1 species
AGUAGGGAAUAUUGGUCAAUGGAUGGAAGUCUGAACCAGCCAUGCCGCGUGCAGGAAGAAGGCCUUCUGGGUUGUAAACUGCUUUUGCCAGGGGAUAAAAAUUCUUUGCGAAGAAAAUUGAAGGUACCUGGUGAAUAAGCACCGGCUAACUACGUGCCAGCAGCCGCGGUAAUACGUAGGGUGCAAGCGUUGUCCGGAUUUAUUGGGUUUAAAGGGUGCGUAGGCGGCCUUGUAAGUCAGUGGUGAAAUACUCCAGCUUAACUGGAGGGGUGCCAUUGAUACUGCAGGGCUUGAGUUAAGUUGAAGUUGGCGGAAUUGACGGUGUAGCGGUGAAAUGCUUAGAUAUCGUCAAGAACACCGAUAGUGAAGACAGCUAACUAAACUUUUACUGACGCUGAGGCACGAAAGUGUGGGGAUCAAA